rnacentral:tRNA from 1 species
AGCAGCGUGGCUCAGUGGAAAGAGCCCGAGCUGGGGAGUCAGACGUCAUGGGUUCGAAUCCCGACUCUGCCA